CGCAUGCGCAGUGGCGUGCCCGGCACGGAGCCGGGGAGGCGUCGCGGGGCUGGGCCCGCCCGGGAGCCUCUCCGAGAAAAGAAAACCUGCGCUUUCUCCCGCCCCGGCCCCGGGCCGAGGGGCAGCAGAGCGGGGAGCAACACCUGAGCAGCCCAGGGCUAAGCUAGAGAAAAGGAGGAGAGAGUAGCAAGUGGGACUCCCAUGUUUAGAUCCAUCCUUGGAUCCCAGGUUCUCCCAGUGGGUCUGUGGUGCCCAAAGGAAGGAGAUGCUGGGAGUACCUGUUUUUCCACCUGUUGAGCUUGGAAGAGACACUGAGCAUGAAGUUGCAGGGAAGCUGCACUUGUGUAGUGACUGGAGAAGAAGCAUCUUGCCCGUCAUCCCCCCCACCAGCACGUGCCAUGGUCAUUUUCCCUCUGGGUCCUUGUUUCCCUCUGUGUCUCUGUAUCCCUCUGUCCUUGCUGUGUGUUUAGCACCAUGUCUUUUUCUCUUUUUCCUGAAGACACCAAUUGGAGUUCUGGCCUGGGUGAGGUGGAUGCUUGCCAAGGGUUUGUUUGCAGGUGUGUUUGCUGUGUCCCCACAGUACACUGCUUCGAGCACGGCAUAGCAAGGAGCUGCUUACUCUAUAUGCUUGCACCUGCUUCACGAUCCCUGCUCAUCACAAUAACCCAUGAAUUUUCCCACCUCUUGGCCAAAUAAACUUUCUGGGGUAACUUCGGUGAUCUCCCACAGAAGAUCCCUCAUCUGCCUCAUGACCACCGUGACAGAUGGUGAUUGAAGCUCCCUUCUAAGGACUGGGACUGAGACCCCUAUAAUCCUAACACAGGGGCGCUGGCCUGACUGAAAGCAGGAUGUUUGCCAAGUGUUGCCUGCAGGUGUGUUCACUGGACCAAGAAAACAAUGGGUCUCGCUCACUGCUGAAAUUGACUUGCCCUGCUUUAGAACAUGGACUGUCUGGACCUGCUUUUCAAUAGACUCGUUUCUUCACUACCUGUUCCCCCCAACACUGCAGAGGACUAUAAAAGACCCCUAAGUUAACCAAGACUUUGAGAUUCUCCCUGAUGAAUGACAGAUCUAUUGGCUGGACCACAAGGAUUUCGUCUCUCCAUUGGUAGCUAUAUCCCCCUUCCCCUCUUUCUCUCCCUCUCUCUAUCCUACAUCUCCUUUCUAAUCCCUCUAUCACAUUUGUUGUGGGCACUCAAUAAAAGGUGCAUUUGUUGUGAUUAAA